UUAUAUAGGAAGAUAAGUCUAGUGUUUGCAGAUGACAAGGCAUAGCAUAAAUAGUUCUAAAGGAAAACUUUGUCUUGAGAAACAAUAGACUGGGUUAUAUUCAGAUGUGAUGUGCUAAAAGAUCAUCAGUAUAGUAUUCCCAAGUUCUAACUAGAAAUCCCCGGCCUAAUAUAUGGACGCCUGUCGCAAUAUUACAGCGCGUGCAUGAACCACCGUCAGAUUGCACUACUACUUUUUUUUAAACGUUGGAUUGCACCAUAGUUAUGAAGUCAUUGACCAGAUGAAGACUAGUUCCAUUUAUCCCUAAAAAAUGGUUAGUUGCAUUUAGCUUCCCAGUCAUUGAGGGCUGCUAACUGGAGCCUGCAGCUCGGCACAAAUGGUAAGUCAAGCAGCCUAAAUUUCAGGUUCACAAACUGGGCAAAACUCUUUGCACAACAAGGUGGGCAGUUUUGGCAACUUGGCACCACCGUGGAGUGGGAGACUACGGUGAGAGGAGAAGCACGUGUGAACAGCAUCGGCAUCGCGAAGGAAAUGUUAGAAGCACGAGACAGCAGUCGAGCCGAAACAUUCUACCCGUACUUCCUUGCCGUCGCUGAUUCACUUGGCUGUCGGCCUGCUUUGCCGGCCCAACUAGCCCAGACGACCGCCUCGGAAGGUGGGGCUAUUACGUUUUCGCUCCGCUCCUUAUAAAGCCACCACACACAAAGAGAAAUUAGGUUUCCAUUCCCCUCCUUGAGCCGCCGCACCCAACUCAUCCCUUCCCGUAGAACUUCUCCAACGGAGAACCGCAAACCAUCGCCACCAGCGGCCUAACGCGGCGGCGACGUCCUAGGGAAGAACUCACUACCUCUUACCGGUAAGGCACCCUUGUCGCCAGUCCAAGAAGCAGAUCUAGGCGGGGAUGGUGAUGGCGUGUUGUGAUGGCGACUCCACCUCCUUGAGCCACCGCCCCCAACUCAUCCCUUCCCGUAGAACUUCUCCAACGGAGAACCGCAAACCAUCGCCACCAGCAGCCUAACCUGGCAGCGACGUCCUAGGGAAGCUCACUACCUCUUACCGGUAAGGCACCCUUGUCGCCAGUCCAAGAAGAUCUAGGCGGGGAUGGCGAUGGCGUGCUGUGAUGGCUGACUCCACCUCCUGGUUAGUCACUCGUCUCCUCUAUUUUACUACUCUAGAUAUCAGUCUAGCUCUUUGUUUUGCCACUCCUUCCUCUACCUUCCUCCAAUCGACUAUGUCCUGUUGCUUUGUUCUAGAUCGGAAGAACUCGCUAUCGGUAAAGGCUCUGUCACCCACCCAGCAAGCAGAUCUAGGCGGGGAUAGCGAUGGUGGGUUGUGACUCAGUCUUGUUGCUUUGUUCUAGAUCAGGGUAUCUGUUUUACAACUGAUCUCGAUCUAGUUGUUCUCUUUGUUUUGCUAAUCCUUCCUCUGAUCGAUUUUGUCUUAUUGCUUUGUUCUCGAUCGGAAGAACUCGCUACCGGUAAAGCACCUUUGUGGCCCACCGAAGAAGCAGAUCUAGGCGGGGAUGGCGAUGGCGUGCUGAGGGUUGAAUCCAGCUCCCAGUUAGUUUCCCAUCUCCUCUAUUUUACUACUCCAGACUAGAUCUCAACCUAGUUGUUCUCUCUUUUUUUGGCUACUCCUUCCUCUAAUCUGACUCAGUCUUGGUGCUUUGUUCUAGAUCAAGGUAUCGGCUAUUCUUCCUCUAAUCGACUCGGGUCUUAUUGCUUUGAUCUAGAUCAAGGUAUCUAUUUUACUAAUCUAGAUCUCGAUCUAGCUGUUAUCUUUUAUUUGCUACUCCUUCCUCUACCUUCCUCUAAUCGACUUGGUCUUGUUGCUUUGUUCUAGAUCAAGGUAUCGGCUAAUAUUCCUCUAAUUGACUCGGUCUUAUUACUUUGUUCUAGAUAAAGGUAUCUGUUUUACUACUCUAGAUCUCGAUCUAGUUGUUCUCUUUGAUUUGCUAGUCCUUUCUCUAAUCAAUUUGGUCUUAUUGCUUUGUCCAGAUCAGAAGAACUCGCUACCGGUAAAGCACCUUUGUGGCCCACCCAAGAAUCAGAUCUAGGAUGGCGUGCUGUGAUGGCUGAAUCCACCUCCCGAGGGAGUACUAUUCUACUCGUCGCCUCCUCCUGCUGCUACCUAGGAUAGAAGAGGAAGAAUAACCAAUAACUUGAUCUAGAACAAAGCAACAAGAUCGAGUCGAUUAGAGGAACGUUUAGGAAGGAGUAGCAAAAUAAAGAGAACAGCUAGAUGAAGAUCUAGAAUAGUAAACUAGAUACCAAUAAGACCGUGUUGAUUAGACGAAGAAUAACAAAUACCUUGAUCUAGGAGACAAGACCAAGUCGAUUGGAGGAGGGUAGAGGCAGUUCCUCAGUCUGCUCUGCCUCCGUCACCAUCAUGGGGAGGAUGACCAAUUAGGUGUGCUUAACAUGACUUCAGGCGGAUAACAAGGAGCAAGCAAGAAAGAGUGUGUGCGUCUGGUGUUCCUAAAGUGCUAAGUGUCAUUGUCCCAAGCUCUUCUGAGCUUGGCAUACAACAACCAGAGCUCGUGAUUAGAACUUUUGCUUUUAACUCUUGUAAAGUUCAAAUCUUAAAUUCCAAAGUUGAUUUUUGAGGUGGAA